UCCUCGACCUCUGAUGGCUUCUACAUCUCCCAAGAAAAAUAUAUUCAGGAUCUUCUUGCUCGCGCUGCUCUCGGUGAUGAGCGCACAGUUGUGACUCCUAUGGAGCUCAAUGUUCAGCUUCGUGCUUCUGACGGUGACCCUCUUCCUAAUCCCACUCGCUAUAGUCACCUUGUUGGCAGUCUUGUCUAUCUUGCUGUUACGCGUCUUGACAUCUCCUAUCCUGUCCACAUCCUGAGUCAGUUUGUUUCAGCCCCCACCUCUGUCCACUAUAGUCAUCUCCUCCGUGUUCUACGAUAUCUUCGUGGCACGAUCUCUCAGCGCCUUUUCUUUCCCCGCUCCAGCUCUCUUGAGCUCCAGGCCUACUCUGAUGCUACCUGGGCUAGUGAUCCCUCUGAUCGACGCUCGCUGUCUGCUUAUUGUGUCUUUCGUGGUGGCUCUCUUAUUGCCUGGAAGACAAAGAAACAGACUGUCGUUUCUCGCUCGAGUACAGAGGCUGAGUUGCGAGCCAUGGCUAUGUUAACGGCUGAGGUGAUCUGGUACGGUGGUUACUUGAGGAUUUUGGUGUGUCUGCUACUACCUCGACUC
rnacentral:rRNA from 1 species